UUCAAGGAGGGUUUGAUCCUGGCUCCGGACUAACGCUGGCGGCGUGUCUUAGACAUGCAAGCCGAACGGGUCAGUGAGCUUCAAAGUCGGGGAGCUUGCUUUCUGGCUUUGUGCUUACUGACUAGUGGCGAAAGGGUGAGUAACACGUGAGAAUCUACCGCUGGGAAGGGGAUAAUUCAGAGAAAUCUGAAACAAUACCCUAUGAUGUCUCGGUGCUUGCAUCGAGAUCAAAGGUGACUUCGGUUAUGCCCAACGAUGAGCUCGCGUUCUAUCAGCUUGUUACGGGCCAGACUCCUACGGGAGGCAGCAGUCUAGAAAUUUGCGCAAUGGGUGAAAGCCUGACGCAGCGACGCCGCGUGGGGGAUGAAGGCCUUCGGGUUGUAAACCCCUGUCAGGGAGGACGAUGUCCCGAGCAAUCGGGAUGACGGUACUCCCAGAGGAAGCUCCGGCUAACUCCGUGCCAGCAGCCGCGGUAAGACGGAGGGAGCAAGCGUUGUCCAAAAUUACUGGGCGUAAAGGGGAUGUAGGUGUCUCGGUAAGUUGGAUGUGAAAGCCCUCUGCUCAACGGAGGAAUUGCAUUCAAAACUGUCGAGAUUGAGCACGGGAGAGGAGAGCGGAACUCUCAGUGUAGCGGUGGAAUGCGUUGAUAUUGAGAGGAACACCGAUUGCGAAGGCAGCUCUCUGGACCGUUGCUGACACUGAGGUCCGAAAGCUGAGGGAGCAAACAGGAUUAGAUACCCUGGUAGUCUCAGCUGUAAACGAUGGACACUAGGUGUGGGGCUUUGGCUCCGUGCCACAGUUAACACAUUAAGUGUCCCGCCUGGGGAGUACGCUCGCAAGGGUGAAACUCAAAGGAAUUGACGGGGCCCCGCACAAGCGGUGGAGGAUGUGGUUCAAUUCGAUGCAACGCGAAGAACCUUACCUGGGCUUGACAUGUUGGUAGUAGUGACCUGAAAGGGAAGCGAGCCCGAUUUAUCGGGAAGCCAACACAGGUGCUGCAUGGCUGUCGUCAGCUCGUGCCGUGAGGUGUUGGGUUAAGUCCCGCAACGAGCGCAACCCCUUUCCUUAGUUGCCAUCAGGUCAUGCUGGGAACUCUAAGGAGACUGCCGCAGAAAAUGCGGAGGAAGGUGGGGACGACGUCAAGUCAUCAUGGCCCUUACGUCCAGGGCUACACACGUCCUACAAUGGGCAGUACAGCGGGUCGCAACACCGCGAGGUGAAGCUAAUCCCUGAAAGCUGUCCUCAGUUCGGAUUGCAGUCUGCAAUUUGGCUGCAUGAAGGCGGAAUCGCUAGUAAUCGCGGAUCAGAAUGCCGCGGUGAAUACGUUCUCGGGGCUUGUACACACCGCCUGUCACGUCAUGGAAGCCGGUAAUACCCUAAACCACUGACCCAACCCCUUAUGGGGAGGGAGGUGUCCAAGGUAGGAUCGGUGACUGGGACGAAGUCAUAACAAGGUAGCCGUACGGGAACGUGCGGCUGGAUCACCUCCUUU
rfam:Latescibacteria bacterium DG_63 WOR1_52_54_31, whole genome shotgun sequence.